rnacentral:lncRNA from 1 species
UUGAAUCCAAACAACUUAAGUGCUAUAAAUUAUUUUGCAUCCAAAAGAAGAUAAUUUAUCCAAAAAAAGCAUUGGAGUCCAUACAAAGCACAUGAUGAAAGUACUACUAGCAAUAGGAAAGCACAAAUAGUCCACACCCACAUAGAUGCAAACAAGGUGUGAGGCAGCUAGCAAGAUUUAUUACCAAGUUGACAAGUCAUGCAUCCAUUUGGCUUCCACUAUUUCAAUGUUAUGG